CAGAACCUCACGGCACUAACCUGGGCUUUUGAUUUUGUUGCCGUUCGCCAUGGUGACUUGGAGUUUUUCGAUUGGUCACAUAGCAGACCCAGUUUGCUAACCCAGCAUGAAUCUAGAAAAUUAUGCGUAUUUCCAGUAUCAAUCAACAGUGUUAAAGAGUGAUUGCCAUUGAUUCCUUGAAUUUGCAUGGUCCGUUCCCCUGCUGUUUCUUUGUCGAUGGCAUAUAGCGAGACUUUGAGAUCAGAUUCUUCUUCGAGUUCUCUUUCUUCCUUGUCCCCUUGUACGGAUUCUUCAACACCAUCAAGCCAGAACAGUUGUUUGCAUUGGUGGCCCUUGGUAUAAACUUCAUCG
rnacentral:misc_RNA from 1 species